rnacentral:rRNA from 1 species
CAGCCGUAAACUAUGCGCGUUAGGUGUAUCGGUGACCACGAGUUACCGAGGUGCCGAAGGGAAACCGUGAAACGUGCCGCCUGGGAAGUACGGUCGCAAGGCUGAAACUUAAAGGAAUUGGCGGGGGAGCACAACAACGGGUGGAGCCUGCGGUUUAAUUGGACUCAACGCCGGACAACUCACCGGGAACGACAGCAAUAUGUAGGCCAGGCUGAAGACCUUGCCUGAAUCGCUGAGAGGUGGUGCAUGGCGUCAGUGACU